ACGGGUGAGUAACGCGUGGAUAACCUGCCGUAUACAGGGGGAUAACACUUAGAAAUAGGUGCUAAUACCGCAUAAGCGCACGGUUCCGCAUGGAACAGUGUGAAAAACUCCGGUGGUAUACGAUGGAUCCGCGUCUGAUUAGCCAGUUGGCGGGGUAACGGCCCACCAAAGCGACGAUCAGUAGCCGGCCUGAGAGGGUGAACGGCCACAUUGGGACUGAGACACGGCCCAAACUCCUACGGGAGGCAGCAGUGGGGAAUAUUGCACAAUGGGGGAAACCCUGAUGCAGCGACGCCGCGUGAGUGAAGAAGUAUUUCGGUACGUAAAGCUCUAUCAGCAGGGAAGAAAAAAAGUCCUUUGGACUUUGGACGGUACCUGACCAAGAAGCCCCGGCUAACUACGUGCCAGCAGCCGCGGUAAUACGUAGGGGGCAAGCGUUAUCCGGAUUUACUGGGUGUAAAGGGAGCGUAGACGGCAGCGCAAGUCUGGAGUGAAAUGCCGGGGCCCAACCCCGGAACUGCUUUGGAAACUGUGCAGCUCGAGUGCAGGAGAGGUAAGCGGAAUUCCUAGUGUAGCGGUGAAAUGCGUAGAUAUUAGGAGGAACACCAGUGGCGAAGGCGGCUUACUGGACUGUAACUGACGUUGAGGCUCGAAAGCGUGGGGAGCAAACAGGAUUAGAUACCCUGGUAGUCCACGCCGUAAACGAUAAU
rnacentral:rRNA from 1 species